GAUGAACGCUGGCGGCGUGCCUAAUACAUGCAAGUCGAGCGAACGGACGAGAAGCUUGCUUCUCUGAUGUUAGCGGCGGACGUGUGAGUAACACGUGGAUAACCUACCUAUAAGACUGGGAUAACUUCGGGAAACCGGAGCUAAUACCGGAUGAUAUUUUGAACCGCAUGGUUCAAAAGUGAAAGACGGUCUUGCUGUCUCUUAUAGAUGGAUCCGCGCUGCAUUAGCUAGUUGGUAAGGUAACGGCUUACCAAGGCAACGAUGCAUAGCCGACCUGAGAGGGUGAUCGGCCACACUGGAACUGAGACACGGUGCAGACUCCUACGGGAGGCAGCAGUAGGGAAUCUUCCGCAAUGGGCGAAAGCAUGACGGAGCAACGCCGCGUGAGUGAUGAAGGUCUUCGGAUCGUAAAACUCUGUUAUUAGGGAAGAACAUAUGUGUAAGUAACUGUGCACAUCGUGACGGUACCUAAACAGAAAGCAACGGCUAACUACGUG
rnacentral:rRNA from 1 species